rnacentral:ncRNA from 2 species
CUAUAUUUGCCGCGAAUUGGUUUCAUGCGGAUAUUCAUCUUCGUGAAUUAAAAGGGAAUCGGGUGAAAGUCCCGAACAGUCCCGCUGCUGUGAAGCUCCAUUCAACGUUCCGACAAUUACUCUUGCCACUGGUCAACUGAACUGGGAAGGUGUCGGAGCGGGAGUCAGUCAGAAGACCUGCCAUUUUCAUCAAAGGCCG